GAUGAAGAACGUAGCGAAAUGCGAUAAGUAGUGUGAAUUGCAGAAUUCAGUGAAUCAUCGAAUCUUUGAACGCGCAUUGCGCCCCUUGGUAUUCCAUGGGGCAUGCCUGUUCGAGCGUCAUUUGUACCUUCAAGCUUUGCUUGGUGUUGGGUGUUUGUCCUGAGGGACUCGCCUUAAAGUAAUUGGCAGCCAGUGUUUUGGUUUUGAAGCGCAGCACAAGUCGCGAUUCAAGGCUAUACGCCAGCUUCCACAAGCCUUUUUCACUUUUGACCUCGGAUCAGGUAGGGAUACCCGCUGAACUUAAGCAUAUCAAUAAGCGGAGGA
rnacentral:misc_RNA from 1 species